AAAGGAAUAGACGGGGGCCCGCACAAGCAGCGGAGCAUGUGGUUUAAUUCGACGCAACGCGAAGAACCUUACCAGGUCUUGACAUCCAGUAAAAACCUAAGAGAUUAGGUGUGAGCUUGCUCAUACUGAGACAGGUGGUGCAUGGUUGUCGUCAGCUCGUGUCGUGAGAUGUUGGGUUAAGUCCCGCAACGAGCGCAACCCUUGCUGAUAGUUACUAACGUGUAAUGACGAGGACUCUAUUAGGACUGCCGGGGACAACUCGGAGGAAGGUGGGGACGACGUCAAAUCAUCAUGCCCCUUAUGACCUGGGCUACACACGUGCUACAAUGGCCGCUACAAAGAGGUGCAAAACCGCAAGGUGGAGCAGAUCUCAAAAAAACGGUCUCAGUUCGGAUUGUGGGCUGCAACCCGCCCACAUGAAGUCGGAGUUGCUAGUAAUCGCGGAUCAGCAUGCCGCGGUGAAUACGUUCCCGGGCCUUGUACACACCGCCCGU
rnacentral:rRNA from 1 species